UAAAUACAAACAAAAUCUGCUUAUAAUUGAAAUUGAAAACAGGUACACGAGAAGUAUCGAGUGUUUAUUGUAUAUUUUCUUAUAAAUAGAGCAUAGAAGUAUCGAGUGUUUAUUGUAUAUUUUCUUGAGUGUGGCUCAAAAUAUAGAAUCAUAUGGGUUUAAAAUAUCCUUGAACCAUACAUUUACACAAGGAGUGACUUACACACGUCAUGAUCUUAGGUUUUUGACAUCAAUCUUUGGGACAAUCAGAAUCUUUAAAACAUCUACGCAUCCGUGCUAUAAAUAGAAAAGAAAAGAAAAAAGAAAAUUGGAUGGAAUAUUGUAUAUAAGGUGAAGAGAAAAUUUUAGAAGAUAAAAAUAACUUACCUUCAACAUAUCAGAUAAUUAUAAAAUAAACAAACUUGAUAAUUUGAGCCAUAAUUUUUCUCUUUCAUGUAACAAAAGGUUUUAUCACUUCAUUAUUUAUAAAGCUUUUUCUCUUCUUACAAAAAUCGAAUAUGUAUUAGCGCUUAUCUUAUCGAGUGGUAAAAACCACUUCCAUAAAGAUUAAUCAUAACUAAAUGUCUUUUAAAUAUAUCAAUGAGUUGUAUUUAUCUCUUUAAUAUAUUUAUUAAAGACCUCAAAUUAAAAACUUGUCACUCAUAACAAUUCAAUAAUUUUUUAUUAAAUAUCUAUUAGUGUUAUAACUUUUCGUAACAGGAAGGGAUAAAAAAACCAAAGACCAAUCAUAUUUUUGGACCACACAUAUCAGCAUGAACUUAGUGUGUUUUAUUGAUGAAUCAAACUUAACUACUUAAUGUGAAACAUUAAGUGAUAAUGAGUGAAUCCAUCUUUGAAAUUGUCCAACAUGUAUAUUAAAUGCAAUAAAAUUUAAAAGCUACUUAAUGCACUGUCAGUGUAAAAAUUUUUACACUAUCAAUUCAUCACCAUCAUCCGUUUGUAUUACUUUAUAGAUUUUUAAAAUAAAAGUCAAAUUUGUUUUAAUAUCCAGGUCUAUUAUUAACUGACUGUGUAAAAUCCUUUAAAUUAUCACUGUAUUUCAAUUAUAUAUAUAUAUAUAUAUAUAUAUAUAUAUAUAUAUAUNUCAGUGAUACUGGAUUGAAUGAUGCAAUAAAAUGCUUGUCGGGAUUGUUACAUAAUUUGACCAAGUAGCUUUGUUACACCAUCACUGCAUCUAGAUUUUGCACAUGCAUUAAUUAGAAAACUGAUAAGUUUCAUGUGUAAAUGGGUUUAUGGCUAAAAGUAGAAGUGCUGUCAUUAACCAGAGUCGUCGACGAAUUGGUUUUGUGAAACAAGUGAUAUCAUGUGAAUAGUAAUCGAGUAUAUUGUUUUGAGACUUGUGUGAAAUUUAGAGUUUCAUAACAUUUUUUCUCAAUGGUGAGAUGAAUGAGAUGUAAGUGGAUAAAUCAAACAGUUAUUUAAGGACAAUGGAUUGUUCAAAUACAAAGGCUGCAUGGAGACGAAGACGUACAGUGUUUGCUUAGUCGAUCGUUAUAGACGGUUAACUUAAGACUAUAUAUAAGUAAGGAUACACUUAUCUUUUUAGAGGUCCACAAUUGUACAAAAAUUCUGUAAAACUUAAAGACUAUCGUGUGUUGUGAGAAAAAGAGUCAAGAAUGUAUGUAUGCGUUUCCAUUUUUUACAAAUCAAAGUUUAUCUUAGAUACUGAAUUGAUAUUCAAUUAAUUUUCGUUUUCCUUAUUAUAUUUAUUUUCAAUCAUGUAAUAUUUUUGUUUCUUUUAUAUUUGAUUUCAAUGUAAACAUGCUUCAAACAUUAAUUUUCACCAAUAUGUCUUGGGAUCUCUUCGAGUUUAAUCCCGUGAAUGAAGUCAAAUGUUUUGUUUAUCAAAUUUCAAAGUAAACAAGUACUCCAUUAUUAAUAACUAUCACAUCCUUUUUUUAUUUUUACCUCGAGAGCUGCAUCAAUUUCUGAUUGAACUAUUGCACUUAAUGCAAACGAUGUCAAGUCUUCCAAUGUCAAGUAGAUUUUUCAUCCUACAUGCUUCAAUGUUCAACCUAAUAAUUUCAAUUGUGCUACUGAACUUUGUUGGGAUGCUUAGAUCUUCUUGAAUAUUCCUGGUGCUUUUUAAGUCUUUUUUUGUCCAAGAUGAAACUAGUGACCCAAGAAUAAAGAUUAAAGAAACUUUAAUAUGUGGAAUGAGCAUAUUUACUAGCGUUUCCUUUCAUUUUGUAUGACCUUGGCAGUGUGAAAAAGCUUGGUAAGUUUUUACCAGAAAAUUAAUAAGUUCAAGCAUACUCGAAAAUCAGCUAUCAUAACGGUUGGAAAAGGACACAACCACGUCUGACAACCGAUGUUAGUAGGAUGUAUGUAUGUAUGAUCUUUCUAUCACGAGCAUAAAACAUUGCGAUAACUAGAUAGGCACUGUAUAUCAACAACGUUAAAGUAUACAAUGUUGUGAUAUAAAAUUAAUGUAAAGAAGGAAAAAAACAUGCCUUUUUAUUUUUGGGGUUCUAUUUUCUUAGCUUCACCAGCAUUUGAAGGGCUUCGAAUUUAUGUCACCCCUAGACUUCAGUUUCAUCUACAACGAAAUGUGUAAGAACGAAGUAUAUGAAAAUAAUUUGAAUAAAUAAUAUAUACAUGUUUUUCUUUAUGGUUCUCUGGUAAGAUGAAAAAGGCGAUCGACGACCUCUUGUAGAAGUUUUGUUCCAAAGAAGUGGCCUGAAAGUAGUCGUCGACCGUUGUUGAAUUUCCACUAUUAAAGAGAUGAUGGAUGGUGGAAAGUAGGAAAUUCAAGGACUUAUUGACGAGUGAACAGCCAUGCAAUAUUUGUAUUCUGAGUAGUGAGUUUCCUUUACACAUUGAGCAACAACAAUUAUUGAAUGCAAAAAUAAUAAAUUGCAGUAUGUGAGUCUAUUAAAUAAAAUUAAUGCGUUUGAACAUGUCAAAAAAAUGUAUAACAAAGUUAAAAGUUUAGACAAUUAAAUUAUGAGUAACUGUUAUUUAUUUAACUAUCUUGUUGAUAAAAUUUUUUUAAUUAUUUGAAAAAUAUUAGAGACCCAACUCAAAUUAUUACAAUAAUAAAAGUAUAUAUUGUAGGUACGAGAAUAUUCAAUUAUGUGUUUAUGAUGUUAAGUAUUAAUUAAUUGAAAAUAUAUAGUAUGUUAAAUUAUUUUAUAUAUUUUUAUAAAGUUUUUAUAAGGUGUUGUGGUGCAUUUGAACGGUUUGACGUUAAAAUAUUGAAUGCAAAAAAAAACCAUGUUGUUCAGUUAAUUUGAUUGGCUUUGAAAAUAAAAAUCAACCAACAAAUGUAAACCAAUGCCGUUGUUGGUCUAGUUUUACAAGGCUUAUUAGUUAUACAUAACCUAUUAGAGAUAACAUAAUUGGUUUUAUCAUUCAUACAUUACCAAGGUAACAAAAAAAAAAUAUCAAUUUGACAAAAACUUCUCACAAAUAUAAAAUGCAGAUAUAAAAGUAAAUAAAAAAUAAAAACAUAAUAGAAAACAAAUAAAAAAAUAUCAAAUAAAAAGAAAGAGAGAUGAGAAGAUACAGAAGAAAAAAAUAAAGAACAUAAAGAUGCGAGAUUAAAGAAGGGAAAGGUGCGUUAAAAACUAAUUUGAAGAGAUAAUAAUAAACGAUAAAAAUGAGAUGAUGAAAAGAAACAACUAAGAGAAAAGAGAUAGAGUAGAAGAAGGUGAAACAUACAUUAACAAAAAAAAGAAGAUGAGAAGAAUAUGCAAUACUAUCAUGAGAGAUUUUGAGAGAUUAAAACUAAAAUCCUAAGAGUGUGUUUGGGUGAAAUAUUUUAAUGAGAGAAAAUUUUAAAGAAUUUAAAGUGACACCAAAAAAUAAAGAAGUUGAAGGAAUUUAAAAAUGCAUGAGGACCAAAAUUUAUUGUUUGGAUAAAAAAUAUAGAGAAUUGAUAAAAUGUUGUUAAAUUUUAUGAAAUAUAUUUAUUCAAAAGUUAAAAUUUAACGAAUUUUAAAGUGACACCAAAAAAUAAAGAAUUUGAAAUUACUUAUUUUUUCGUAUACAUGGAAAUGUUAAAUUGUUUAUUAUUAAUUUUUUUAAAAAUUUUGGCAAGUAUUCCUCAUAUUUUAUGAAAAAAUUUAAAUUUCAUCUUGUUAAAUUGUCUAAAUAUUUGCAAAUAAAUCCAUAAUAAUUUAAAAUUUACAAAUUAGUCUAUUUAAAUUUUAAAAAUUGUAAAUUGAUCUCUAUCUUUCAUAUUUUAAAUUUUGUCCCAAAAAUGUUAACAUUUAUGAAAAUUGAUCCCAAAAUUUAACAAAUAAAUCCAUUUUAAUACGUCCAUCCAAAGAAAAUAAUUUAAAAAUGGACCAAUGGAAAUUUCAAUGAAUCAUUAAAUUGCUUAGAAUGUGAAUUCUUUAAAAAUUUCUAAUAACUCAUCCAAAACAUACUCUAAGAUUUAAUAAAGAAAUAUUUGUUAGAUUAAGGCCAAUAAUAUAGUUGGGAAAUUUGGAUGAAUAGUGAGAUAAGGGUAGGGUUUGCGUUGUAAAAUAAGUUACAGUUUGGUUGGUUUAUUUGACUUGCAAAAUACAAAACCGCUCCAAACCAAACCGAAUCGAUGUCAUUUGUUAAAAAAUAACCCAAACAACAUUUUGAAAUCAAAUGUGAUUUUUUACAUUUUCGAUUUGAUGAUUUACGAUUUUCUAUUUUAUGUAAAACAAUACAUUUUUUUCAUAUCAUUUUUAAAUGGUUUGAAAAUAUUUAUCGAUCUUAGUAAAAAUGUCAUACGGGUAACAUCAGCAUGGAUUACAUGAGUAACAAGAUAUGACAUCAUUAAUGACAAAAAUUAAAUAAAAUCAUAGUAACCUUCAUAUUCUAUUUAUAAGAAAAUAUUUAAUUUUUAAUUCAUUGAAUAACAUAAUAUAAUCUAAAUCUAUAUUCUAUUUUGAAUAUUAUGGGCAUUCAAUAAAUUUAAAAGACAAUUUGUUUUCUUCUUAUAAAUAGAAUAAAAACAAUAAAAAAUAAAACUUAAAAUAGGAAAAAGAAGAGGAUCCAGAAAUUAGAUAAAAAAUAGUAUAGACGUUUUUAAAGGAGAUUAUAUAUAUAUAUAUAUAUAUAUAUAUAUUAUAUAUAUAUAUUAUAUAUAUAUAUAUAUAUAUAUAUAUAUAUAUAUAUAUAUAUAUAUAUAUAAUGGAAAAAUCUAAAUACAAACAAAAAUCUGCAUAUAAGUGAAAUUUGCAAAACAGCGUUACACGAGAAGUAUCGAUGUUUAUUGUAUAUUUUCUUAUAAUAAGAGCAUUUAAAGUAUCGAGUGUUUAUUGUAUAUUUUCUUGAGUUGUGGCUCAAAAUAUAGAAUCAUAUGGGUUUAAAAUAUCCUGUGAACCAUACAUUUACACAAGGAGUCACUUACACACGGUCAUUGAUCUUAGGUUUUGACAUCAAUCUUUGGGACCAAUCAGAAGCUUUAAAACAUCUACGCAUCCUGCUAUAAAUAGGAAAGAAAAGAAAAAAGAAAAUUGGAUGGAAUAUUGUAUAUAAGUUGAAGAGAAAAAUUUUAUAGAAGAGAAAAAUAACUUACCUUCAACAUAUCAGAUAAUUAUAAAAUAAACAAACUUGAUAAUUUGAGC
rnacentral:lncRNA from 1 species